UUAAGUGAUUUUCCGUAUUAGGAAAAUCUUUGGUGAGAUGUAAAAAGUCUCACGAAUAAGGACUGGGCAAGACUGGUGCCAGCCGCCGCGGUAAUCCCAGCAGUCCAAGUCGCAGCCCCAAUUGUUGGGUCUAAAACAUCCGUAGCUUGCCUUUCAAGUCCUUUGUGAAAUCGGGCCUCUUAAGGGUCCGGCGUGCAAAGGAUACUGUUUGGCUAGAGACCGGGAGGCGCAAGAAGUACAGACGGGGUAGCGGUAAAAUGUGUUGAUCCCAUCUGGACUAACAAUCGCGAAGGCAUCUUGCGAGAACGGAUCUGACAGUGAGGGAUGAAGGCUAGGGGCGCAAAGUGGAUUAGAUACCCAUGUAGUCCUAGCAGUAAACCCUGCACACUAAACAUUAGGGCCUCUUCGAGAGGUUCUAGUGCUGUAGAGAAGUCGGAGAGUGUGCUACCUGGGAAGUAUAGUCGCAAGACCGAAACUUAAAGGAAUAGGCGGGGGAGUACUACAACGGGUGACGCGUGCGGUUCAAUUAGAUUCUACACCGUGAACCUCACCAGGACCGACAGCAGGAUGAAGGUCAGUCUGAAGGGCUUACCUGACACGCUGAGAGGAGAUGCAUGGCCGACGUCAGCCUGUGUCGUGAGAUGACUUGUUAAAUCAAGUAACAGGCGAGACCCGUGUAUACAUUUGCAAUGAACAAUGUAUAGACUGCCUGGGUAACCAGGAGGAAGGUGCGGGCUACGUUAGGUGAGUACGUCGCCAAUGCCCUGGGCUACACGCGCGCGGCAAUGCUGCAUUCAAAGGGAUGCGACACCGAAAGGUGAAGCCAAUCUCAUAAACUGCAGCUUAGUACAGAUUGAGGGUACAACUCACCCUCAUGACGCUG
rnacentral:rRNA from 1 species